GUUUCCUCAAAUGUUUUGAGUUAAAUGAACUUAUCCGGUUGUACAGUGUACAUAUUGCUUGCUGUUCGCGAACUAAUUGUUUGUGAUUAGCUAACAUGCUUCCUCUGUGCAACUCUAGCUAGCUUAUUUAAUUGGAAGGUAGCAUGAGUUAGCUAGCUUCGUGGCUUUGUUUUUCUUUUCUUUUUUUUAUUGAUAAACAAAUUGUUGUACAUCAGUCUAGCACCUAAUUAAUUCCAGGUGACUGUCAUGUACCAAGUAGCUAACCCUGUAGGUGAUUUCAGUCGAUGAAGAAGUCCCGACAAUGUCAGGACGGACCAGUGGAGGGGACGACUGCAUUUCUAGAUAUGCUUCAUGACGUCAGAAUGACAACAUGAACGAAACAGAUCGAGAUUAGCUGACUGGACAUUGUCCAGUUCAUAAAACUAGCUCACUUUUGCCUUAUUUCCACUACUCGGCAUAUAAACAUCUGUGUUGUUGCUAUAACAACUGCUUUGGAUGUGUGAGCCUGUGCAACUACAGUACGUACAAAAAAAAAAAAAAAGAAAAGAUUUGAUCUCAUGUAAUUUGCAAUGUGGACACUGUCAAAAAAAAAUCGGAUUUAAGAAAAGAAAUUAGAUUCGCGCUGCUGUCUGAAAUCUUUGAAGGUGCCGUAGUUUCGCGUGAAGCGCCUGCAUAUUGCAGAAACGAUGAAAUGAAAUUUUAAUGUUAAUAUAAAUAUUAAAAAGGGUUACGUUUCUCCUGUGGUGGAACUUUAGAAACGACUACAGAGCGCAGACCACUCAAAUCAGACUGUGCUGAAAUAUUAAUAAUAUGUUUGUAGCGAGAGAGUCGGUCUAAUGCGAGGUUAUGUUAUGCAAGAAGACGGUGUGGGGAUAAAAAUAAAUAAAUAAAUAAAUAAAAUAAAACACCCCACUCGGUCAGUAAUGCAAGCUGCAAGUGUGUGGACGGAGAAAUUAUUAAUGCAGCACAAACACAGUGCUGAAAACUGACCGGGGGAAAUAAAAUCCUUUGUACACAGAUGUAGGAUCAGCUCCUUCAACCCAAAACUUAACCUUUACUAUUGUUAGAUUAUAUCGAGAACUGAUCCAGGAUCAGUGGGUUUGAUUGCUUUUUAUUUCCCAACCUUAAUUGUCUGUAAAUGUGCGAAUGCAAUCAGUAAUUAGUUUGUAACGAAGCUUAAUAUUUUUCUCUUACCAUAUAAAGGUUUGCUAUGUAUAUUGUAAUUGUAAUAUAUUACAGUGUAUUAUCCAUUUUUUUCAGCAUUUUUUGAUAGAGUGUACAGACUGGGCUCCGUUCACCUCGAGCAAUCAGUUUUCUAAUCCAAAUCCCAUUGACGGCUUUAAUAAUUGAUGAACGGCUGCCACCAUACUUUAUAUAUUAAAGUAACUGGAGUACAUGUGAAUAUAUCGAGCUGUCAGGAUCAGUUAAGAGAAAUUGUGUUAUAUUGUCUCUGCUUUCGCAGGGCAAGAAGUGAUUUAAUGUUUAAUCUGCAAAUCUACACUUCCACAUCACCGUAACCGACUCGAUAUGAUGCUGUUACAAUGUCAUGAUGCUUUUUGUUUUUGUUUCAGUGUUGGUUGCAUAAUUUUAAUUUACCUGUGUGUCUUUGUCGUUUAUAAUUCGGUGAUAACCACGGCAUAAAAUCUUCGUAACGAGAUGUUAAUUGACAUUGCAGGGAUGGACAAAUCAUAAAUUCAUUAGCUAGCCCACUGGGAAAGUAAAAGCUCCAACGUGCAGCCCAUUCUCGUGUUUUGCUGCCCAGAAGUCCAAUUAAUUAGGCUGAAAAGCUGGCACGUAAUUUAACUCAAAAAUAUGACGAUGUAAUUAUGUGCAUUAAUAUAGAUUGUGGAAAAGUAAUGAGCACUUGAAUCCCUGAGAGCAGCGGAUUUACGUAGCUUUAGUCUUUAUCCUCUCCUCAGGUUCCGGUGAUGAAGCAUCACAUUUGCCCCCCAGUGCCCAACCCCACAACUUUUUGGCUAAUGUCUGAGAGGAGACAUGCGCUUCCCUAGGACUGACCAGUAGUGAGAUCAGAGAGAGAGAGAGAGAGAACAAGGAAAAGCUUGGUGGGAAGUCAAGGGUCGAAGCAUAGAGUCCGUCAGGAAGCAGC
ensembl:lncRNA